UUAAUUUUCCGUUCAAACUGAUCUUUUUAUAGGAGCUAAGCCCACCUCGAAAGAACUUUUCUACAAAUUUGUUGAAUGGAAAACGAAAACUGUACAUUUUGGCAUGAGAAGUUGUGAAAGACGGACGCUGUGCCAUGUAUAAAACCGCAGAACGUUCUAAUUUAUGUCCAUAAGCCUUGUUGACGUGGUGCAAAAAGAGCUCUCUGAAGUAUGUAAUGGACCAUGCCGAAUGGUAGAGUAAUGGAUACCUGGCAGCAAAUGAUGCACUGGAUUUGUAAAGUGCAAUAGUGAUAUUUUAUCACAGAUAGAUCGGCAUAUUCAUCGCAGAAGUAAACACACGACAGAAGAGCAACUAUGCGAAUGGUUCACAAAGAUGGACAAUUUUACUGGAUUUAACUGGUGCUGACUGUUUUUUGGACCCACAGAAAAUCAUGAAUUUGGGAGAAAUAUCAUUCAGCAAAACUUGUGCAACUAUCUAAUGUAGGAGGAAAUAAUAAUUCAUGCACAGUUUUGCACGGAGGUAACGCGGCUGGUAAACGCCACCGUUGAUGAUUUUCACUGCCAGAUGAUUGCUGAAUUGCAACAAAGCAGUGAUGUCCAAUGACUGUAGCGUAGACAUUUCGAUGGACGAAUGAACAAUGAAUACUGUCCAUUCAUACUUGUAUCUUUAAGUAGAACAAAAUGAAAUCAGCCAUCACCUUGUGGAGAUUCGGCCCUCCUGUCAAUGGACAUAACUCCCGUCUACUUCUCUCUUUCCUGUCGAACACUGUACAUCUUUUGCAAGUCGAAUCUCAUCGCUCUUUGACCAAUUGAACAAAAAUGAGAGAAUCCACUAGAACAAUUCCGAGUUGAGGGCAAAAAUCAGCAGUGCAUGUCAGUAGCACCAUUUUGUGGAUAGUUCGAGAAAUGCUAGGAAGAUAGCUGCAAUGCACCAAAUUUGAUGAACAUAGAAAUAUUCAAGAAACCAACCUCACAGAGUUUUGAAGAAUUUUUUUUUAUCAACUGGAGCAGCUAAUUGAUUCCACCUCUAUUCUCUUUGACUGAAACAGUUCAAAAACAAACCCGCCGUGGAUUAGUGACAUUGGAGCUCAUGAUUUAUUUGAACUAUGGAAAAACCUGUCCUUUGAGCAGCCAGCAGCCUAACAUUUGAAGCAAUUUACGAUAGUUUGACAAUGAUCCAUCGGUCACUAUGACUUUGUAAAAAGAUCGUUUAGUUUUAGUUCAAGCCCAACUGUCAUCUUAUUCAUUAGUUUUAAAUGUCUCAGUUCUUGAGUUUAAAUCUCUAUUUUAUUCGUUUUGUUCCAAAAACAUGCACA